UACACAUGCAGUCGAGCGGAUGAAAGGGNGAGCUUGCUCCUGGAUUCAGCGGCGGACGGGUGAGUAAUGCUUAGGAAUCUGCCUAUUAGUGGGGGACAACAGUUGGAAACGACUGCUAAUACCGCAUACGCCCUACGGGGGAAAGGAGGGGAUCUUCGGACCUUUCGCUAAUAGAUGAGCCUAAGUCAGAUUAGCUAGUUGGUGGGGUAAAGGCCUACCAAGGCGACGAUCUGUAGCGGGUCUGAGAGGAUGAUCCGCCACACUGGGACUGAGACACGGCCCAGACUCCUACGGGAGGCAGCAGUGGGGAAUAUUGGACAAUGGGGGCAACCCUGAUCCAGCCAUGCCGCGUGUGUGAAGAAGGCCUUUUGGUUGUAAAGCACUUUAAGCGAGGAGGAGG
rnacentral:rRNA from 1 species